rnacentral:rRNA from 1 species
UACAGAGGUCCCAAGCGUUGUUCGGAUUCAUUGGGCGUAAAGGGUGCGUAGGUGGCGCCGUAAGUCGGGUGUGAAAUUUCGAGGCUUAACUUCGAAACUGCAUUCGAUACUGCCGUGCUUGAGGACUGGAGAGGAGACUGGAAUUUACGGUGUAGCGGUGAAAUGCGUAGAUAUCGUAAGGAAGACCAGUGGCGAAGGCGGGUCUCUGGACAGUUCCUGACGCUGAGGCACGAAGGCCAGGGAGCAAACGGG